rnacentral:rRNA from 1 species
AUUGAACGCUGGCGGCAGGCCUAACACAUGCAAGUCGAGCGAGCGGCGGACGGGUGAGUAAUGUCUGGGAAACUGCCUGAUGGAGGGGGAUAACUACUGGAAACGGUAGCUAAUACCGCAUACCAUCAGAUGUGCCCAGAUGGGAUUAGCUAGUAGGUGGGGUAACGGCUAACCUAGGCGACGCUCCCUAGCUGGUCUGCGAGGAUGACCAGCCACACUGGAACUGAGACACGGUCCAUACUCCUACGGGAGGCAGCAGUGGGGAAUAUUGCACAAUGGGCGCAAUCCUGAUGCAGCCAUGCCGCGUGUGUGAAGAAGGCCUUCGGGUUGUAAAGCACUUUUGGCAGGAGAGCGGUACCUGCAGAAUAAGCACCGGCUAACUACGUGCCAGCAGCCGCGGUAAUUC